CCUACGGGAGGCAGCAGUGGGGAAUAUUGCACAAUGGGGGAAACCCUGAUGCAGCGACGCCGCGUGAGUGAAGAAGUAUUUCGGUAUGUAAAGCUCUAUCAGCAGGGAAGAAAAUGACGGUACCUGAUUAAGAAGCCCCGGCUAACUACGUGCCAGCAGCCGCGGUAAUACGUAGGGGGCAAGCGUUAUCCGGAUUUACUGGGUGUAAAGGGGGCGUAGACGGCAGCACAAGUCUGGAGGGAAAUGCCGGGGCUUAACCCCGGAACUGCUUUGGAAACUGUGCAGCUAGAGUGCAGGAGAGGUAAGUGGAAUUCCUGGUGUAGCGGUGAAAUGCGUAGAUAUUAGGAGGAACACCAGUGGCGAAGGCGGCUUACUGGACUGUAACUGACGUUGAGGCUCGAAAGCGUGGGGAGCAAACAGGAUUAGAUACCCCUGUAGUC
rnacentral:rRNA from 1 species